CAUAGCGAUAGGGUCUCUUACACUGCCACCAGCACUGCUGCAACUCAGCAAAUCAGUAAAAUUGAAUUUUUGCCAAAUAGAAAGAUGGCUUUGUCAAACUUGUAUUUGUCCCUGGGGUAAAGGGCUUCAAUGCUGAGCAUCGAGCAUAAGGAGUUGGAGAAAGAGAUGUGGGUGAUUUACCUCUGCCAUAGAUAUCGGAUUGGCAAAAAUAAAUGAAUUUCAUCUGAAGAGAAUUAACACAAGCAUACACAUAUACACAGGAGUGCACAUAAAAAUUAAUCUUCAAGAGGAUAGAAACAGGGGAUGGUGUAGUUCCUGCCAUGAAGUACAGAUCAACUGGUACCAGAGAUUCAAAAUUGUGGAAUGGAUCAUGGGGAUUUCUCUCUUCCCUGUCAUAAAGAGUAAUUCAAUCAGGAAAACUGACAUGCAUUGUUGUAUUGUGGGUGCAACAGCUGAGAAGAUGAAAAAGACAUAGAGAAAGGGGAUAUUGGAAAUAAAAGGAUGUUAAAAUGAUAUAAUUUUUAAGAAGGUUGAGAAGGAAUAUGGGAUAUUUAUAUUCCUCUAAAUUUGAUAGAUAAUGAUGUCCACAAAGAAGAGUUUGCUGAAAUAAUUUUAAAUUUUGGUGAGCACAGACUAUCAAUGCCAAACGCAAUGGGUAAUUUUCUGUGUCAGCUUGGCUAGGCUGUGAUCUCCAAGUGUUUGUUCAAACAGCAAUCGUAGAUGUCCUUGUGAAGGUAUUUUUAGGUAAGAUUAACAUUUAAAUCAGUAGUCUUUGAGUAAAGCAGAUGACCUGCAAUAAUGUGAGUGGGUCUCAAAUUUGUUUUAAGUUGAAGGCCUUAAGAGAGAAAGAUUAAGGUCAUCCAUGAAAGAGGGAAUUCUGCUACCAGAUUGCAUUUGGACUCAAGCUGCAAUAUCAGCUCUUCCCUGGGUCUCCAACCUGACAGCCUGUCCUAUAGAUAAGAGCUUGCCAGUCCCCACAAUCACAUGACACAUGAGCCAGUCCUUUUUUUUUUAGCCAAUUCUUUAAAAUUCUUCUCCUCUCUCUCUCUCUCUCUCCCCCGCCUCUCCCUCUCUCUCUCCCUUCUUUCUCUGUGUAUACACAUGCACGCGUGCACGCGCGCACACACACACACACACACACACACUCAUCCUAUUAGUUCCGUUUCUCUGGAGAACCCAGACUAAUGUACUUCCUCAGUAAUUGUUUUAGCAUUCUGGAUUCUGUUACUUUACUAUCAGCCUUAAAAUUGCAAAAAGAAGAAGGAAAGUUUUAUCAACCAUUUCAGACACUAAGUUUUCAGCCUUUUGGGAUCAAGGAAAAUACAAUCCAUAUGUUUUGGACUCACUUGCUAUUAUCCAGAACAUUAUAUCGGAGAUGGUUUAAAAUUUCUGGCUGGUUCAAUAUACGCAAAUCAAUAAAUGUAAUCCAGCAUAUAAACAGAACCAAAGACAAAAACCACAUGAUUAUCUCAAUAGAUGCAGA
rnacentral:lncRNA from 10 species